rfam:Salmo salar isolate Sally breed double haploid chromosome ssa27, whole genome shotgun sequence.
UGGCUCAGUUGGUAGAGUAUGGUGUUUGCAACGCCAGCAUGGUGUGUGCAAUGCCAGGGCUGUGGGUUUGAUUCCCAC